rnacentral:lncRNA from 1 species
UUUUUUUUUUCCUUUGCUUUUCACAAGUCCAAAUCUCUGAGACUGACAAAACUGUCUAGUUAAAAUUCUCUCUCUCUCUCUCUCUCUCUCUCUCUCUCUUUCUCAACCUCUCUCAAUGACAUAGUAAAUUAACUUCCUUCCACCAUUUCCCCCAUCCUGGUUUUGCAGUGCACAAGAGGUCAUAGGCAGCCAUUCUAUGUCAAUGCAUGUACAACUUAAGUGUUAAAGAGUACUGCUUAAACUUGAGCUAGGAUGGUAUUCAAUGGUAAAUAAUAGCUGUGGUUGCCAUUCUUGGGGCCCUUCCUUUCUGCCAGGCGUGACACUGAUAUCCUGCAGUAUCACAUUUAAUCCUCACAAAACUCCUAAAAGCUAGGGAGUUUGUCCCCAAGUAUGAGAAUCCCAAAGCUCAGAGAGCAAAACAACUUGUCCCCAAACACACAGCCACUGAAGCAGUAGAACUGGCAUCUAUCCUGAGUCCAGCUGAUCCCAAAGCCUGUGCGCUUGACCGGACUGAAUGUUUCAGCUGAACUCAGGGGCCAGGGUGGAGACCAGCAGACGUGGAGAAUAAAUAAAUGAACAAACAGAGAAACAGAGCAGGAAGAAAGCAGUAAGUCAGAGGGAAACAUCUGGUAGGAAAUCAGCGAGGAGUGGAAGAGCUGGAGAGAGAAUUCACUGGAGAAUGUGAGAAAUGAAGACAAGUGAAUUUGAAGAGAAAAUGGCUAAAGCAGCUGCAACAAAACAGCCAGGGCUCCUGUGGAACAGCACAAGAAGGCUUCUCACUCUGGAGGUGGGACAGGAGUAAUGUGCGGACACCUGGCAAGAGGGGCCUAGCUUCCUCAGAGACAGAGAGCAGCAGGUGAAGAAGAGGAGGAGGAAGGUGGAGAGACAGGCCAGAAGGAGAACACGGGGCUUGGAUGACAGACAGACACGUCAGGUUGCGGGCUUCUCUGAGGCUCAUCUCCCGCAUGACAAUUGUCCUAAGGAUUGAGCCCCUCUUCUCACCCCUGCAUACAGACCAACCCCAGGAGAACACAGAAGUCUCUAGUCACAGAAGAGCCACUCAACAAACACUUCCUGCACUGAAAAAGGAGAUUGUUAGGAGUUGCUUUGAGGGGCCUAAUUAUGUCGAUGCUGGUCACUUUCAAGAAAGGAGGGACUUCAGAGAGGUAAGAGGUCAGGACUGCUGCCCACAAUUCUACGAAAAAUGUCAGUUAUAAAUAAGCAAAGAGCAAGACAUGAUGUCCUUCUGCUAGACAUGCCCUUGCCCAGAGAAGCUUCAGAAAAUGUCACCCAGUCAUACCUGUCUUGCUUCCUUACUAGAGUGUGUCCUUCCACCUGCCACCCCCAUGUGCUGUGCCCCCCAUCCUCACUCCCACACCAGACAGAGCCCCAUCUCCCUUCCAGGCCUCACUCCGGGAAUACAGUUUUCCUCAGUGCUUUCUAGAACAAUCUGAUUCCCCCGUUCACUCCUCCUUGCUCUGAAUUCUGGUAUGAUGAGUCACACUAAAUUGUUUUCUGAUUGUUACAGGUAUGGAUGCCUUCUCUUUUGAACUGAAACCCAGGUCUUUGACUAUAGAAAUUAUAUUUUCUCUCUUUUUUCUCUACUGCAUUUUCUUAGAGUGGGCCUGGGCCAAAGCUGAGGCUAGUUUUAUGCUGUGAAUGAGGAGAUAGAUAAAUACAUAAAUGCAUAAGACUUUUAGAAUAGAAUUUGGCAGGUAGAAAAACCAUAUAAGUGCUGGUUGUUGUUGUUAUUGUUAUUUUUCUUUAACAGCUACAGUGUCUUGCCUGGUACAUAGUUGACACUCAGAAAAUAGGACUUGAGUGUUGCUCCAAAAUCCAUUAACACAUAAGCAAUGCCCCUAAAAUACACAAUAUGGCUUCUCCAGAAGGCUUAAUUUUUAUGAGCUUUCAUUUCUAAAGUCUCUGGGAAUAAAUAUUCUAUAUUGCUAUAAAUUCUCUCUUUUCUAAAAUAAAUAGGAAGCAAUUCAGAAGCAUAGUUAGGUCACACAUUAAAAAUAAGUGAGAAUGAGUACAAUCCAGCUGAGUUGCCACCAAAAAAGCCUAUUGAGGUCUAAGUUCCACCCCUCACCCAGGACUAAGAUUCUGUGAGGGAAGACUCUCUGGCCUUUGGAGACUUCUAGCAAGAGUUGGCGUUCAUGUGGAUCUCCUCAUCCAUGGAUACCAGGUCACCAUGCAGUGAUCCCUUUGAAUGAUUAGGAACCAGGCAAAGGAUUUCCUCUUAUCUUUUCCACUGUGAUUCCCCAUAAAGAUGCAAAAAUGAAGCAAAAAGGAACUCCCAGUUCUUUGGCACCAAUCAUGCCUGUAAUUCUGGGAUGAUGCCCAUUAGGCUUUUGGAGGGCAGCAACUCUCAUAACAAUGCCUGUGCAGGAAUACAGCACCACCCUGGGCCCCUUGCUCUCAACCUGCACCCUCCCUGGGCACUCACUGCGCCAACAAGCCCAUGGGAAGGCUCGUGAGGAGGCAGUUUCAUGGGUGACUAGUCAUGCCGUGGUCAAUCAGAGGCAUCAAUCGUAGCUCUCAACCCAGCUGCCUCUCCAAUUAAUGCAAAGCUGUUUAGUUAGCGCCUUGAGAGUUGGGACCGAGAAGCUGCCUCAAAGAAUAUUCUAUAAGGAUAAAAGCAAAACCUCUUUCCAUUUCUUAUCACGAGAUGUUUUCAUGUGUUUGUUUUCAUUUUUUAGGUUUAUCCAAAAAGGAAGAGGAUGGUAAUAAUCCCCUUCGCUCCAUCACAACUUUUAGAGAUGUUUAUCGAAGCCAAACCUCUCUUGACGUUUGCCAAUUGCUAAAUAGAAGUUAUUUUUCCUGCCAAAUAUACCCUCUCUUUUUCAGUGCUUAUAAAUAGAUUAUAUAUAAAUAGGAUGAGUUAAUGCUAUUCAUAUGAUGAAACGAAUUAAAAUAGAUGAACACAAAAUUGAGGUAAAACAGGGUUCUCUCAGAAUUUGUGGGAAAAGCAUCAGAGCAAGCCUUGUGCUAGAAUCCAGGGCAGCAGACAGUGGAGAGAGAAACCUAAUUUUAUCCUGCAAGGCCCAUUCUUGACUUCAGUAGCAAGUUUAAUAGAAGUCGUUUCUAUAUGGCCCCACAUAGGGUUGCCAGAUUGAGAAAAUAUGAAUAUGGAAAUAGUUGAAUUUCAAUGCCAAAUAAAUAACAAUUUCUUAGUAUAAGCAUGUUCUAAAUAUUGCAUGGGUCACACUUACACUAAAAAUUACUCAUUGUUUAUCUGGAACUUAAAUUAACCAGUUGGCCUAUAGUUUAUCUAGUAAUGCUAUUUCCAAAGAAUCGAAGUUGAUCCUAAGAAGAUGAGGAGUUAAGUCCUGUUGGUAAACUCACUCUAAGGUCAGCGUCUUCAUCUAAAUCAAUUAGGUUGGCAGAGACUUUGCUUGAAUUAUACACAAGUUCAGGACAUAGCCUUCACAACAUGGUCAGUGGGCAUCACCUUUGUAAAUUUUACCAUUUCAGCAAUUCUGGCCUUGUAUACCUGUAAUGCAUCCUUUAAAGUAGUGACCCACCACAUUUUAAACAGAAAAUAAUGUUUAGAAUGCCUUGAUUUUUGUGCCCAGCCUCCAUGCUGGGGUUUUAUAACUCUAGCUUAUUUAACCCUUGUAUCUCUGUGUAGUUCAUAUUCUCUACCAUCUAAUGAGUUGCAGAAAUCUGUCCAAGGUGACACAACUGAUAAAUGGAGAUGCCAGGAUGCAUAUCAAGGUCUAUCCUACCCCUCAGAUAUGUGUUCUUUAAUCUCACCAUUCAAAUCAACACUUUUUUUUCAAUUAUAAAUGUAUAAUGCACAGAGGGCUGAGAUGGAUACUGAGGAUUGGUCCAGGUUGAUGGUGGAAGAAGGCAAAAGACAAGGGAUUUGUGUACUAUUAAGAAGACAUGACAAACACAUUGAAAGAAAAAAAUAGAAGAUAGUAGAGAAGUGUCAAAGAGGUUCUCACUUGAAACUAGAAAGGCUUCUGGAUAUCAACUCAAUAUUAUUAAUAUCAAGCAUAAUUUAAUAAACACCUACUAUAUACCAGGCACAAGGUAAGCAUUACAACCUUACUAGUACAAAUGGAGGAAUGAGACAGAGACUAACUAGCUUGCCCAGAGAUGUCAAGUAGUAGACCUAGGAGAAUUGUGCCCCCAUUCCUAUGAUCCCUCCCACAAAAAUCCCAUACUCUGAACCAAUGGGUUGUGAUGGUUUGAUAUAUAUUCUUCUCAGAAAUGUACUUUAAAAGCAUCUCCUUUCUCCCCAUGAACUUCUCACAGCCUUCAGUUCACCUCAAAACACACACAAGAUUUACCUUCAUGGUCACCAUGGAGAUGUAAAAUUACUCCAACAAAGCCAAUGAACAGAUUUCAUUCAUCCAUACAUAACCUUGAUAUCAAGACAAAAAGGGUCACUGAAAAAAAGGAUUCAUUGCCACAAGGUCAAAAAAGAAAACAACCUCAAUUGCUUGUUUCCAUCCCAGGAGUGAGAAAAUAACUAACACCUGGAGCUCAUCAUGAGCUUUGAGAAAAGUGGAAGUGAGAGCCCCUUACAUUUGAGUCAAUUCAAUCACCAUCGAAUGAGUAUCCGAUUUGUACGCAGAACAAAGUGGCUGAAACAGGCCAGUUUGCCUCUGUCCGAAGUUCUGCUGCUCCAUGCCCAGAACAGAGACCAAAGAGAAAUGUGUCGGUAAGACAUAACAACUCUCUUGUCAGCUGUGCUCUGGGUAAAUCAAAGUGCUCUGGGUAAAUCAAAGUUCUCUGGUUGUAAGCAACAGAAACCAUCUUUGGCUAAUAUAACUCUCA